rnacentral:rRNA from 1 species
UACGAAGGGGGCGAGCGUUGUUCGGAUUCACUGGGCGUAAAGGGUGCGUAGGCGGUCGGGUAAGUCUGAUGUGAAAUCUCACAGCUUAACUGUGAAACUGCAUUGGAUACUAUCCGGCUCGAGGAAUGGAGGGGAGACUGGAAUACUUGGUGUAGCAGCGAAAUGCGUAGAUAUCAAGUGGAACACCAGUGGCGAAGGCGAGUCUCUGGACAUUUCCUGACGCUGAGGCACGAAAGCCAGGGGAGCAAACGGG